rnacentral:rRNA from 1 species
UACGUAGGGGGCAAGCGUUGUCCGGAAUUAUUGGGCGUAAAGAGCGUGUAGGCGGUCCGGUAAGUCAGCUGUGAAAGUCAAGGGCUCAACCCUUGAAAGCCGGUUGAUACUGUCGGGCUAGAGUCCGGAAGAGGCGAGUGGAAUUCCCGGUGUAGCGGUGAAAUGCGCAGAUAUCGGGAGGAACACCAAUGGCGAAGGCAGCUCGCUGGGACGGUACUGACGCUGAGGCGCGAAAGCUAGGGGAGCGA